rnacentral:lncRNA from 1 species
CCGUAUCUAGAAAUGGCAGGUCCACGAGUGACGACUGGCAUGAUGAAAUAAAUCUUUUUCACCAGUGAGGACUAUUAAUUCAAAUUAGCUUUUGUACCUUCUCUGCUGUAACUUUUUGAGGAUGGUGACCUCUGAACCACCAAGGAAUCAUUUUGCUACCUAUUCUCAUUUUUUGUCGAUACUGAAUUCAACAUAACCCUAUCAUAAACACAAACCUAAACAAGAACCCUAUCUUGGACAUUUGCAUGCUAAGCCAAAACCUCGAUAUCUUCGGUACAAUAAGCAAAACAACGCCAAAAAGCAGAAAACAACAACACAAAUACAGCAAAAAGCAGAAACCACAGCAGAGCAGCAGAUGAAAACUCCAAGCGAAUUAAGGCUUGCAACAAAGAAAAAAUUCGAAGCAUGGAUCUACCUCAUCACCUCUAAAUGCAAGAUGUACAUACGGUUUUGUUGUGUCUUUUGUUAUUUAGUUUCUUUUGUUUGGUUUGUUUUAUUACAAGACGUGCAACACCACUGCCUGUUCUCCAGCUCGUUUUGUGGUGGUUGGCUAUUGAUUAAUGAGAGGGCUCGAUUUUUAACAAUGGGUAGCUUUUAGGGUCGAUAUCAGACUUGUAUGCAUUUACAGUGAUCUUUAAAGCAAAGGUCUACUAAAAGAGCUUUGCCCAUCACCCUCUCAUGGCUAUUACGCAUCUGUUGGAUUAGCCUUUAGCAGUUUAGAUCUCUGCCUUCCACGGCCUUGGCUCUUCGUGGUUGCUAAACACUCUCUCCUAGCACAACUAGCCUUGGAUUCCAGGCUCAUCGGCUAUUUUUUUCCUUCCCUCUUAGCUCUAGGGUUUAGUUAUUGGGCUUUGAACGUAUUUGCUUCUGGAGCUUUAAUUUCUUGGGAUUCAGAGGUUUAUUUAGUCUUAUAUGUUUAGAUCAAAUUAAACUAAGUAAAAUAAAUAAACAUACUGGAAGUGUAUUAAGUUUCUAACAUGUCUUUUAAUCACUCUACCAAAAUUUAACAAAAAUAAAAAUAUUAAUGAUGGAAAAGAAAAUGAUCAUACAAAU